GAGUUUCUACCAGCGCCAAGGGCUAAGGAAUUUGGAGGUUCUAACACUGUUGAUUUUUUAGAAGCAUGAUAUAGUUAAAUAUAUAGCCAAACAGCUCUUGAUUAUUGGAAUUCACCCUUUCAUGAAUGUGCUACCUUAUUGUGCUCUUCAUAAUCAUGUUGUGAACUCGGCAGUUGUUGGUAACAUUUGACACACUCGUUGUUGUUGGAAGUCUUAUGUAUUGGACCUCACUUUUUUGUUGGCAGAGACUUUAACUAGUGUUGCAGGACUACCUUUUAUUUCUUUUUUUAGUGGUAUGAAGAUGCACGGCCACGAGUUUCUUUUGUCCUGCACUUUUUUACACCAAUGCAGGUUUCUAUUGUACUGCACUUUAUUUGUAUGGUAUUGAGCUAAUUAUUUUUGUAAUGUUUAUCGAGUCUAUUGUGGUUCUUGAUCAUGUGUGGUUUGUACAUGCAGCUACAGUAAGUCCUUCCAUUUUUAAUGGUCACUUUGAUCACUUGCUGCAGCAGUAACAUGGAAUCAGAUCCUGUAAAAAUUGCUGUUGAUGGAGUUGAAACAUUUAAGAAAGAAAACUGUGAUUUGAUUUUUGUGGAUACAAGAGGACAACACAAACAGGAAGCUUUUUGUAGAUAUAUUGUUCUUUUCAAUCACAUAUUCAACUGACAGAUGUUCUAACAGAAAUUUGCUGGUUUUUCUUGUUCCUUUUUCUCAGAAUACCGAUCUUAUAAUAUUUGUCAUGGAGUCAUGGAGAGCAGUAUUGGUCAAGCAACAUUUGAUCAAGCACAAGCCUUCAAAAUAAGUGUAGCCAUUGGAGCUGUGAUUAUUAUUUUCAAAUAUAACUUGCAAGGUCAACAAUCUGAGUUGCAGCCACCAAAAAACCAGUCCCUUUAUUGGAACAGGAAAGCACAAGGAGGAGUUUGAAAUUUUCGAUGUCAAGCCAUUUGUCAGUCGUCUUUUAGUUGUACCGACUGAUCAACAACCUGAGCUUUUUCAAAAGCUCUCCAAAGGAAGCUUUACCCUGCGGCUUAUGUACCAGCUGUUCAAAAACAUUUCUCAAAAUGGGUCCUACAGGUCAUGAAAAGGAAAGUCAAGCAAAAAUCAAGCUGUUUAUGACAAUAAUGGAUUCCAUGACAAAUGCAGAGCUGGACGGCACAAACCCAAAACUGAUGAAUGAAUACUGUACACUGCACUCUGCUAGGGGUUUGGACAGGUCAGUCAGAGAUGUCACAGAAAUGCUGGAGGAACACAAGUGCUUCGCAAAGAUGUGCAGCGAGAUGAAGGGGUAGUUUAAGAUCUCAGAAAGGUGAAAUGAGUGCAUUGUCUCGGAACAUGAAUGCACGGCACAUGAGCAAGGUCCUACCACCACAGAUGCUGAAGCAGAUCGGUAGCAUGGGUGGCCUGCAGAACUUCAUGAAGCAGAUGGGAUUGAAAGUCAUGGGUGGGUUGGUGGGAUCUUCGGAUGAGGGUACAAAGAGUAUAAUACUUUAUAUAAUCUAACACAUCGCCUUGAGAUUAUACUUCACUGUGUUGUGAUUAUCAAGAUGGUUUAUUUUUCGGACAUCCAUGAAUCCUUCGAUUAUUUUGGAUGUCUUUGCCUUGCCUGUGCAUCGCUGGAUGAUUUAUGCAAGGAAUGGGCCGUGUUGUGUGUAUCUAAACUCAAGAAGUGAAGCACCUUAAGGUGUUAAAGGUGUCUAUAAAUCAUUCGAUCCAA